rnacentral:lncRNA from 1 species
AUUACAUGCCUCGUCAAGCAUGGUUAGAAGUUUGACCUUCCUUCUUUGAUGCUCAAUCCUAUCAGCAGGUGACAAAGGUGAAACAUCUUUUGAAGAAGAUGAAGAAGCACCACCACCACCAACACUACCACCACCACCACCUUGAUUUGAAUUAGGGUUUGAUAAUUGUCUACUAAAUUUAUUCUUCUUGAAUUGACCCCUUCCAACACUGCAAAACUCUUCCAACAAUUCUUGAGCAGCUUUAACAUAUUUUGAAUUCCUCAACACAUUAACAACACCUAAAGAAGAAGAAGAAGAAGAUGAACCAAAUCCAACAUGUCCUUGAUGAAUAUGAUUAAUCUGUCCUAAUCCACCUCCUUGUAAAUGAUGAUGAUGAACACUACCAAGAUUCUUGUAAGAAGUUCCUGGUCCUCCUUGAUUGUAAUAUAGAAAACCACCAGCAGCAGCAUCUCCCAUUCUUAAAUCCUCUGAAUGAUGAUGUUGUAAGGAAGACGAUAACGACAACGAAAGACCUUGUCCUUCAACAACACUUGCCAUUUCUGGUUGGUUGUUGUUGAGUUGGUGAUGACUUGAUGUUGCUCCUCCUCCUCCUCCUUCUUGAGCCCAUGUGAAUUGUCCAAAAGACCCUCCGGCUCCGGAAUUAUAACCUUGGAGAUUAGUUGUUGAAGGAUUGGGAAGUAACAUGUGGAGAGUGGAAGAAUUAGUAGAUGAAGGAUGAGGUUGAGGUGGAGGUGAUGGGGAUCUGGUGGUUUGCGGGUUCAUGAGAAAAAGCUGCAUGGCAGCUGCUGACUCAGCAUUAAUGUUUGACAUCUGAUGAUGAUUUUGAUGAUGAAAUAUGCUGCUGCUGCUGCUACUGUCACGAUUAUUAUGAUGAUUUUUUGAAUCUGUUAACAUCGUUUGUCUGUUUCCGUACCAGUCACUGGAAUUGCCUAUUCCAUGUGGUGCUUGUGGUGUUCUUGUUGAUGCCAUUUGUUGUUGUUGCUGCUGCUGCUGCUGUUCUAAUAAUUCGGCUGCCGAGGCGCCGUGAGGGAAAUUGAACAUCUCGGACAACAUUCCGGUUGUUUCGUAAACCGGUAGAGCUUCUUGUUCUUCUUCUAUGUUGCCUAUUAGUGGCGGCGGCGGUGGUUGUGGUGGUUGUUGUGAGUCGAAGUCUUGAAUUCUCACUUUGUCUCUUUGAAUUUGCUGUUGUUGCUGGUGUGGAUUGUUGUUUUCUGGAGUGUUCGAUCUCUCGAAUCCGUUCGAGAAGGCGAAGAUUCCUUGCUGGUGGUGGUUCUGGUGGUGGUGAUGAUGAUAAUCUUGGGACAUAGAAUUGGUUGAGUUUUGAGACUUUUCUAAGAUUGAUGAAUUAAAGGAACUAUGAUAAUUUUGUAUGCUUGAUGAAUUUGAGAAAGUUGAAGGAAUUGAUGAUGGUGUUGUUGCUAUUCCCAUCUUAACUUCUUACUCAUCAUCAUCAUCUUCACCAUUAUCAAUAUUCCUUGCUUUCAAAUUGAAUUGAAUUGAUCAAUAACAAAGAUCGAUCUGAAAAAUUAAACAUAAAACAUCAUAUCAUAUGUAAAUGAUGCAAGAAAAUUAGAAAACAUAUGAAAAUAAAAAUACAUGAAAUUUUGC